GAUGAACGCUAGCUAUAGGCUUAACACAUGCAAGUCGAGGGGAAACGGCAUUAUGUGCUUGCCCAUUUUGGACGUCGACCGGCGCACGGGUGAGUAUCGCGUAUCCAACCUGCCCUUUACUUGGGGAUACCCCGUUGAAAGACGGCCUAAUACCCGAUGUAAUUCAUUGAUGGCAUCAGAUAUGAAUAAAAGAUUUAUCGGUAAAGGAUGGGGAUGCGUCUGAUUAGCUUGUUGGUGAGGUAACGGCUCACCAAGGCGACGAUCAGUAGGGGUUCUGAGAGGAAGGUCCCCCACAUUGGAACUGAGACACGGUCCAAACUCCUACGGGAGGCAGCAGUGAGGAAUAUUGGUCAAUGGGCGCAAGCCUGAACCAGCCAAGUAGCGUGCAGGAAGACGGCCCUAUGGGUUGUAAACUGCUUUUAUACGAGAAUAAUUUGAUGCACGUGUGCGUUAUUGCAUGUAUCGUAUGAAUAAGGACCGGCUAAUUCCGUG
rnacentral:rRNA from 1 species